rnacentral:rRNA from 1 species
UACGGAGGAUGCAAGCGUUAUCCGGAAUGAUUGGGCGUAAAGCGUCCGCAGGUGGCUGUGUAAGUCUGCUGUCAAAGAGCAAAGCUCAACCUUGUAAAGGCAGUGGAAACUACACGGCUAGAGUGCGUUCGGGGCAGAGGGAAUUCCUGGUGUAGCGGUGAAAUGCGUAGAGAUCAGGAAGAACACCGGUGGCGAAGGCGCUCUGCUAGGCCGCAACUGACACUGAGGGACGAAAGCUAGGGGAGCGAAUGGG